rnacentral:rRNA from 1 species
AGAGUUUGAUCAUGGCUCAGGAUGAACGCUAGCGACAGGCUUAACACAUGCAAGUCGAGGGGCAGCAUGAGGUAGCAAUACCUUGAUGGCGACCGGCGCACGGGUGAGUAACACGUAUCCAACCUGCCGAUAACUCGGGGAUAGCCUUUCGAAAGAAAGAUUAAUACCCGAUGGUAUAAUCAGACCGCAUGGUCUUGUUAUUAAAGAAUUUCGGUUAUCGAUGGGGAUGCGUUCCAUUAGGCAGUUGGUGAGGUAACGGCUCACCAAACCUUCGAUGGAUAGGGGUUCUGAGAGGAAGGUCCCCCACAUUGGAACUGAGACACGGUCCAAACUCCUACGGGAGGCAGCA